rnacentral:rRNA from 1 species
UACGUAGGGAGCAAGCGUUGUCCGGAAUCAUUGGGCGUAAAGCGCGCGCAGGCGGCCUCGCGCGCCCGACGUGAAAGCCCCCGGCUUAACCGGGGAGGGUCGUUGGGGACGGCGGGGCUUGAGGGCGGGAGAGGGUGGUGGAAUUCCCGGUGUAGUGGUGAAAUGCGUAGAGAUCGGGAGGAACACCCGUGGCGAAGGCGGCCACCUGGGCCGACCCUGACGCUGAGGCGCGAAGGCGUGGGGAGCGAACGUG